rnacentral:rRNA from 1 species
UACAUGUGGGGCAAGCGUUGUUCGGAAUUACUGGGCAUAAAGGGUGCGUAGGUGGCUUGUUAAGUCAGGGGUGAAAGUUUUCGGCCCAACCGGAAAAUGGCCUUUGAUACUGGCGAGCUCGAGUGCGUGAGGGGUAACCGGAACGAGCAGUGUAGCGGUGAAAUGCGUAGAUAUUGCUCGGAAGGCCAACGGCGAAGGCAGGUUACUGGUGCGCAACUGACACUGAGGCACGAAAGCGUGGGAGCAAACA